UAUUAUUCCUAGUGGGAGAAAAAGGCUACUGGUAUCUGUAAAAAUGUGCAAAAGCUGCUCAUUGAGAAAACAGACCUUUGGCUACCCUUGGCAACAGCAUGGGAUUAUGGAUUAGGAAUGGCAGUAGCUGUCAAGUGUAAAAUACAUGUUGGUUUGGUUUAUAGAGAGAAGACAACCAUGAGCCCAUUCUGUUCCAGCCAAGUUACAUUUACAGGGGAGAAGCAGCAAGGGUCCCUGCUGAGCCAUGAUUUACAAGAUAUGGAGGAG